rnacentral:rRNA from 1 species
CCUACGGGAGGCAGCAGUGGGGAAUAUUGCACAAUGGGGGAAACCCUGAUGCAGCGACGCCGCGUGAGUGAAGAAGUAUUUCGGUAUGUAAAGCUCUAUCAGCAGGGAAGAAGAAAGACGGUACCUGACUAAGAAGCCCCGGCUAACUACGUGCCAGCAGCCGCGGUAAGAAGUAGGGGGCAAGCGUUAUCCGGAGUUACUGGGCGUAAAGGGGGCGUAGGCGGCUGUGCAAGUCUGAAGUGAAAGCCCAGGGCGCAACCCUGGGACUGCUUUUGAAACUGGGGAGCUAGAGUGCUGGUGAGGUAGGUGGAAUUCCUGGUGUAGCGGUGAAAUGCGUAGAUAUUAGGAGGAACACCAGUGGCGAAGGCGGCUUACUGGACCGUAACUGACGUUGAGGCACGAAAGCGUGGGGAGCGAACAGGAUUAGAUACCCUUGUAGUC